GGAAGAUGGCCCUCCAGCGGGUUUUAAGCAUCCCGCUGGCAGUAUGGGGUCAUGAGGGUCACUGGAUGCUGCAGGCAAGGGUACCCCCCAUCUCCAAGCAGGUAGAAGCCAGCUGGUGGGUACAGGGACUCCUUGUACAUUGGACAUCUUCGGAGGAUGAGGGCAUCAUGGACUGACCCCGUGUUUCCAACGUAGGAGAAUGCGGACGUGGCACCCAUCUAUGGCACCAGCCACACACCGAAAUGCCUCGUGCCCAGCCAGACGUGCAAAGCCUGUCCCCACCUCCUCCAUCUCUUCAGGCUUGGGGAAAUGGAUAACCUUGUGGAGGAUGGCCAUCAUGUCCUCCACUGAAGUGUGGACUACCCUGCCAACGGUGGCCCUUGGCAUGGCAAAUAUGUCUGCUGUAACUCUAUAGGAGGUGCCACAUGCCAGCCAGUAGAGACAGACAGCCACCUCAAUCUCAUGGCUCCAACCAUGUGGCUUUUGCCAAGGCAGCAUCUGGACCAGUAAAUU